CUAAAUCUGUUUACUUUGGCCUGUUUUUUGAGUGGGCUCCUCACUCUUAGAGAUUGGAGAUGUUUGACAAAGCUGGUGUUUGUGCGCAAAGGUUUUUUACAACAGUAGAGAGAAGCACAUCAGUUAAAAGUGACCCUCAACUGUAACACAGCUGCAUGAAAGAAAAGUUUCUUUGGUAUUAGCUUCAUUUCCAGAAUUAGGGGGAAAUACAGGAAAGCUAAACAAGACAACCUCAAACAAGAUCUGUGCAACUUCCCUGGUAUAUUAAUCUGUAGACAGAGAAGAAAAACAAAACCAGAAGCAACAUCUGAGAAAUGGAAUUCGAGGUGAAUCUUAGGACAUGAAGAAGUAGUUUGCCUGCAUAGAAGCCAACAGCAGAAGAAAUUUGCUAUGGAGACAGAGAGCACGAGACACAGACCACAUAAAUAUGCACAAAGUGCAGCCAAAAGUGUAGAAGGUCUGAAUCUGGUGAUCUGCACUAUCUGGACAUUGGUAGAGGACUAACGAAUCAGCAGCAUAAAGCUUCAAAAGGAUUUACUGUUUCACUCUGUGGUGGCACAGCUCUGGUUCCAAAGGUACCAAGAGUUUGACGGGAAUGCCAGUUAUGUUUCUGAGGACUAAUGGUGAGUUUUUCAUUUGGCUGGUGAGGACCAAAUUUGAGGUACGUGACAACCUCCAUAAACUGUAAUUCAUUCAAUAUGGCACUGGAUCAG